rnacentral:rRNA from 1 species
AGUGAACGCUGGCGGUAGGCCUAACACAUGCAAGUCGAACGGCAGCACAGUAAGAGCUUGCUCUUACGGGUGGCGAGUGGCGGACGGGUGAGGAAUACAUCGGAAUCUACUUUUUCGUGGGGGAUAACGUAGGGAAACUUACGCUAAUACCGCAUACGACCUACGGGUGAAAGCAGGGGAUCUUCUGACCUUUCGCUAUUGAAUGAGCCGAUGUCGGAUUAGCUAGUUGGCGGGGUAAAGGCCCACCAAGGCGACGAUCCGUAGCUGGUCUGAGGGGAUGAUCGCCACACUGGAAAGGAGGACAGGCACACAACCCCUAAGGGAGGCACGGGGGGGAAUUCUUGGACAAGGGGGGAAGGCGAAUCCAGGACAAACGGCGAGGGUGAGAAAGACCUCGGGUUGGUAAGGCCUUUUGUUGGGAAAGAAAAGCAGCAGGUUAAUACCCCGCUGUUCUGACGGUACCCAAAGAAUAAGCACCGGCUAACUUCGUG